AAGUGAAAAACCCUGAAUCUGAACUAUGAUUCAUCCCAAAUCCCCAAUCAAACAAAUCAUUCACAAGAACAGUUCUAGAUUGCCUACAGUCACCUUUCAUACAGAUGACUCUACACUCAUUAUUCUAAGGAUUACAUUCUUUUUUCUUCUUCUUAUAUUUUAUUAAUUUUAUAAACUUAAAAAAAAUUAUGAUAGAGAACUAGCAGUGAUCAAUCUUCGCUUAUCUCUGAGUGCAAAAUUCGCAUCCCACAAAGACUAUUUGGAACAGAGAAUUAACUAUCUCGUUUCAGUCCAACGACCAUUCGACAAAGCUGCCACUACCCCCUCUCUCUCUCUUCGCCAGUUAUUCACACUCACAGUGAUCGCAGAAGAAUAGAGAAUUUUACGAAACUAUCUCAAUAGAAUGCUGGAAUGCGUUUCUUUCAAAUCGUCGACUCCUACCACCAACUCUUCUCCACUUCCUCCCCCUUCCCACUCUCAUUCCGAAGGGAACUCGGCGGAGGAAUUCGAAGAAGACACUUCUGCCACAAGCCCAAACGUCUCGGGCGAGUUCCACCGCGCUUUGGAGGCCCACUCCUACAACGAGAUCCGGUCCAUGGUCCAGGCCCCACCGCAGGUCCACCACAUCGACGACGAGGACUCGCACCACCGCCACGUCCUCUCCCAGGUCCUCCAACCCGACUCUCACAGCGUCCACGAAGCCCUCGCGAAAGCAAAACCUAAGAGCAACCUCACGCGCCUCGUCUCCACCUACUUCUACCACAGCGAAACCGCCUCCGACUUCUGCCUCCGCCUCAGCCGCAGCGUCCACCGCGCCCGCCACCUCUACGCGCCGCUCUCUGACCUCCUCGCCGUCCUCCCCGCCUCCGCACCGCCGCUCUCCCAACCGCAAUGCGACCGCGCCUACGAGCUCUUCCUCCAAUUUGACCGCGAAGAGAAUCCUUUCGCGCUCUCCCGCCUCCACCGCCUCCGCGACGACUUCUCCGACCUCAAGCGCGACAUCCAGCGCGACCUCCGCAAGUGCCACUCGCGAAUCCGCCUCUUCCGCCACAGCGCCGCGGGCUGCGCCCUCUGCUUCGUUGCCGUCGCUGCCGGCACCGUUGUCGUUGCCUCCAUCGUCUUCGUACAUGCUCUAGUAGGGUUCAGCGCCCUCUCCGCGGCGCCGUUUUGUGUUACGCGGCAGAAGAGGAGGGAGCUUGCGAGGCUGAAGCAGCUUGAGGCUGUGGAGAAUGGGACUCUUGUGGUGAAUGACAUUAACACCAUUGAUAGCCUCGUUGAUCGGCUUCAAACCGCAGUAGAAGGGGAUAAGGCUUUUGUUAGGUUUGCAUUGGAUAGGGGAAGGGAGAGACAUCCCAUUCAGGAAGUGCUUAACCAGCUUAGAAAGAACCAACCUGUUUUGGAGCAUUUGCUUGGGGAUCUUGAGCAACAUAUAUACUUCUGCUUUUAUAGUGUUAACAUGGCCAGAUAUGCACUCCUCAAAGCGAUAUGCAGUCAUCAAACUCCCUAGUUAGGUCCUUUCAAGGUUUUCAAUUGCGGUCAUGCUGUCCUUGAUACUGCAAAAAAUUGCAAACUGAGACCACAGAGACUCCAAAAACCUUGACACUGCAGUCAAAAAAUUGUGCUAACAGCAGCAGAGUCUGGAUUCUGGAAGCAUAGGUUUCACCAUUAUACAUCACCAUUUCCUCUCUCCCAUGGCGGAAAGGCUAAUAUCUACACAACCAUAUGUUAUCAACUCCCAUUGCCAACCAUAGUCUGCAUAUUCUUCUUUAAAAGUUCUAGUUUCUCCUAAUUAUUCUGGUAUUCAAGUUCUAAAGAUGUCCAGCAUGUGUCUGAAACCUAAGUCUGCAAUAUAUCACCAAGUGACAAAUGUAGUAUGGCUUGCUGGACGUGGCAUAUUAGUAGCCAGGGAAUCAACUCCCUCUGUUCCACAUGUUUUCCUUGCUAAUACUUGACAUGAAGUCCAUUCACCUCCCUGGCAAGGUCCAAGACUUGUAGUUUAAGCAAAUGUGGUGGACUGGUGGACUGGUUGGAUUUCUUGAAAGUUUCUCCUCUCCCCCCUUUGGUUCCGCAAAUGCUUGGACCUCUGAGGUUUUAUUCUGCCACAACAGGUUUGUGCCUUUUCUUCCUUAUGUCUUCUUCAUCUUCCUUGUUUUCUGGGGCGGUGCAUCUCUAAAACAAGUCCUAUUGGAUGGUGCAGAGAGUGUUUUCCUCUUCCAUCCUCACCUUCAGCCUUGGGUCAAAUGUCUUUGUUUCCUAUGCCUGGAUAACUUCUCUUGUAUCUGUCUGUAGCCUCCAAGCUGCCAGUGCUUUGCUCAUCCUGAGAGCCAAUGGGUCAAAGAUCGUUUUGCCGUGGUUCUGCUUCUUGAUCGCUAGACCUUCAUCUUCCCCUUUAUUUUCUUGCACCCAAGAACAAGAACUUUCAUCUUCUCCUCUGUUCUCUUGCACCCAAUCUGUUUCUCAUCCCAAAACAGAUGUCAAUAGUUCUAGAUCAUAUUCCAGAUGGAACCGUUUGAGCUGUGUUCUCAAAGGUCCACCAAGUCUCUUUCUAAUUGCUCCAUUUCCACUCUAGCCACAACUUGAGAGUGCCUCCUCCUAGAGCCUUCACAACCUUUGAUAGCCCCUCUUCGAUGGGUGUUCCCAAGGCACCGGAAUACCACCUAAUGCUAAUCAUUGUAUACUAUUGUAUAUUCACAAAAUUAUGCAUGUUUAAAAAUUAUCUUUAAAAUAUUUCGUAA